UACGGAGGGUGCAAGCGUUAUCCGGAUUUACUGGGUUUAAAGGGAGCGUAGGUGGGUCGUGAAGUCAGUGGUGAAAUCUUCGAGCUUAACUCGGAAACUGCCAUUGAUACUAUCGAUCUUGAAUUAUCUGGAGGUAAGCGGAAUAUGUCAUGUAGCGGUGAAAUGCUUAGAUAUGACAUAGAACAUCGAUUGCGAAGGCAGCUCGCUACGCUAUUAUUGACACUGAGGCACGAAAGCGUGGGGAUCAAACAGG
rnacentral:rRNA from 1 species